rnacentral:tRNA from 1 species
AGAUUUUUAGUUUAUUUUAGAAUAUCUCACUUACAAUGAGAAGGAUUUAAAAUCUU